UCCCACAUCAUAUUCUCCCUCUCGAGUGUGCACCUGCUUAAGAUUUUUCUUUCCCUUUAAUUUGUUACUCCUUUAUACUGACGAGAAGGAGGGGGGGGUUGGGUGGGGCGGGGGGAGAUGUAGUUGCUUCUUCGGAGUGCCAGGAACAAGAGAAUCAGUAUCACAUGCUACAUUUCUCAUUUCCCCUAAUAUCUUUAGUUUUAUAACAUUUUCAUCAACGAUAUUAUUAUUAACAUGAUGAGAGAAUGAAACACCAUGAAAACUUUCUUUUUUCACUUCAUUGCUCAAUGGACAACUGAUAAUUAUGUAGAUUUUCUAUUUUUAUCACAAAUUUAUAGUCAUGUCAGACCAAAUAUCAUUUUCGAUGAUUCUGGGAAUUUUUUGACACCCCUGCUUUGAUAUCUAAAGCUAUGUUGUUCGAAUUCUUUAAAAAUAUUUUUGUGUCUGUAUUGAAUUCUUCAAAUAUCGAUUGUUUUUCACCUAUCUAACAUGUUUCGAAGUGUCUAAUUAAGCAACAUACUAGUAUGAAAAGCGGUCCCAGGUUAACGGUCUGACUCCAUUAAGCAACAUAACCAUAGCUGAAUACCUGACUCCAUUAUAGAACCAAGAUAGUUAACGGUCCCAGGUUCGGGUGUGGUCCCAAGCUUGGGAAGGGGAGAGGGUUCCUCCGCUCGGGCGUAGCCUUAGAAAGUGGGGUGUGUGUACCAAACUACUUCAACUACUCUGACAAAAUCAUUUUGAUCCCGUAGAUAGCAUACUCUCUUUGCCAUUGUUCAAGAUUAUUUCUCAAACAAGCGCUGAACGUCAAACAGUGAAAAGAUAGCUUACUGUCUUUGCCACUGGUCAAUACUACUUCUCAAACAAGAACUUCCAUCGCUAAACUUCAGACUGUAAAAAGGAAUUUAAUGGAUAGUGAAGAUAGAAAUUGGAUGAAUUGUUUAAUAUGGUCUCAUGAGUUUGAGCGUGGAGCGAAAUAUUUUCUUGAAAAGACAUUUGAACCAGCAUUUGAACGAGCUUCUCAAGAAAAUGAGAUAUUAUGUCCUUGUAGAGAUUGGGAGAAUCAAUAUUGGCAUUAUAGAGAUGUGGUGGAGGAUCACUUGCUUUCUAGAGUGUUUCUUGCUAGUUCCACCAAAUGGAUUUUCCAUGGAGAAAGUGCUUGCUCGAGAAAAGACACACCAUCCAAUCAAUGAUGAUGAAGGUUCUAAUAUGCGCGAUGAUAUUGAUGGACUUGAUUACAUUUUGCUUUUUAAUUUCAAUUACUAGCUUGUUGCAUAUUUUGAAUUAUGAGAUUAUUAAUGAAUGAUUU